GACGAACGCUGGCGGCGUGCUUAAUACAUGCAAGUCGAACGGAAAGGUACUGCUUUUGUGGGGUGCUCGAGUGGCGAACGGGUGAGUAACACGCGAGUAACCUGCACUUGAAUUUGGGAUAAAUCCAGGAAACUGGGGCUCAUACCGGAUAGGAGCUCCAGCAGCACGGUGGGGGUAGGAAAGUUUCGGCGGUAGGGGAUGGACUCGAGGCUUACGAGCUUGGUGGGGGGGUAGUGGCUUACCAAGGCUUUGAAGGGUAGCCGGCCUUAGAGGGUGGCCGGCGUCAAUGGUACUGAGAGACGGCCCAGACUCCUACGGUAGGCAGCAGUGGGGAGUAUUGCAGAAUGAGCGGAAGCCUGAUGCAGCGGCGCCGCGUGCGGGAUAACGGCCUUCUGGUUAUAAACCGCUUUCGCCUUUGACGAAGCGGGAUUGACGGUAAUGGGUAAAGAAGCACCGGCUAACUACGUG
rnacentral:rRNA from 1 species